rnacentral:rRNA from 1 species
AAAGCGUGCGCAGGCGGUCUGUUAAGACCGAUGUGAAAUCCCCGGGCUUAACCUGGGAACUGCAUUGGUGACUGGCAGGCUAGAGUAUGGCAGAGGGGGGUAGAAUUCCACGUGUAGCAGUGAAAUGCGUAGAGAUGUGGAGGAAUACCGAUGGCGAAGGCAGCCCCCUGGGCCAAUACUGACGCUCAUGCACGAAAGCGUGGGGAGCAAACAGGAUUAGAUACCCCUGU